rnacentral:rRNA from 1 species
GAGUUUGAUCUUGGCUCAGAUUGAACGCUGGCGGCAUGCUUUACACAUGCAAGUCGAGCGGCAGCGCGGGGCAACCUGGCGGCGAGCGGCGAACGGGUGAGUAAUGCAUCGGAACAUGUCCUGUCGUGGGGGAUAGCCCGGCGAAAGCCGGAUUAAUACCGCAUACGUCCGAGAGGAGAAAGGUGGGGGACUCGAAAGGGCCUCACGCGAUUGGGUUGGCCGAUGUCCGAUUAGCUAGUUGGUGGGGUAAAGGCCCACCAAGGCGAUGAUCGGUAGCUGGCCUGAGAGGAUGAUCAGCCACACUGGGACUGAGACACGGCCCAGACUCCUACGGGAGGCAGCAGUGGGGAAUUUUGGACAAGUGGGGGCAACCCUGAUCCAGCCAUUCCGCGUGAGUGAAGAAGGCCUUCGGUUGUAAGCUCUUUG